CUUGUAUAUUUGUCAAACUAAAGCUCCUGACACAAACGUAUGAUUUUCUAAAAUGCAAUAGCUGUUUGUUUUACACUGGAGAAUGCAUUUUGACGCAGAACUGUGUAGAUAUGCUCUCUUGUACUUUCAUCUCCAGGCAGUGGCAUGGACCCUGCUGAGUGGACUGACAGAUGUCAAGAUAGACUCUACGAUUACUCAUUUAAGGUAAUCACUUUGUUCAUUGCCCCCAAGACCAUGUCAACGGACAUGUUUUUUCCUACUGAAAGUUUUCGUUUCGCUUUGCGUUUCUGUUUUCAAUGCAGAUAAAGCCGAGACCAGUUGAUGCCAGUGACACUAGCACGCCUGUGACUAGCCCUGGAUCCACAAAGAAAGAAGAAGCCGACUCUCUUGAAAAUCAGGACACCGAAAUUAUCAUGCCUGUUCAAGUUUCAGCUGUCUCAUCUGCAAACUUUGACAUUUUGGAGGACGUGCCAGGCAUUGACGCUGAACUUUCCAGCGUGAAUGACAGUGAUAACACAACUGCAUUGAUAACCGGAUCUGACGGAGGCACGGCCAGUGUGAAUAUAUGUGCUAAAGAGCUCGACGAUCCCGAAGGAGGUGUGGCCGAUGAAGAUGUAUGUGCCAAAGAGUUGAGACAACCUGGGGAAGAAAAUGUCAAUGCAGAUAUAGGUGCUGAAGACAAGAGGGAUUCUGAUGAAGGUGUGGACAAUAUCGAUAUAUGCUCUAAAGAGCUGAGACAUCCAGACGAAAGUACAGAUGAGGACAAGACAAGAAUGGAUGUGGCAGGCACUGAAGAUGGGUCACUCCCCAAUGUCCAGACUCAGGCCAAGGAGGAGGCAUCUACUACAACCACGGAACCGGAGGGAUUACCACUGGAGGAAGUCGCAGAGGAACAAUCAUCCACAGUAGAGGCAGAAGGAGAACCACAAGAGAAGGUGUCAGAAACUGCUGAUCACAGCAACCAGGAACUAUCGGAGGGAGAAGCGAAGGAUGUAAUUAAUCCUGAGAGUGAGAACAACCAAGAGGUAAAGUGACUGUCUUAAAGUAUACAAUUGUUUUCAUCUACUUUUCGUUAUCAUUAUUAAUAUCCAUUGUGAGUAAUCACUCGUCCAAUGCAGGGUCAGAGUGGCUCGGAGCCUGUUCCAGAUGCAUAGAGUGUGAGGAAGGGUAUCCCUUGGACAGCAUGCCAGUCCAUCAUACGCCAGUUAUGUACACACACAGGUUUAUAGUUAAGCUCACCUGAAAUGCUUCUCUGUUCUGUGGGAGGAAACCAAAGCACAUGAAGGAAACCCACGCAAGCGUUGGAACACGACAACUCCACACAGACUGAGCUGUGAGGCAUCAGCAGCACUUGCUAUGCCGCCCAUUUAUUAAUAAAAAUUAUUUAAUUAAUUAAAGGGUUUUUUUU
rnacentral:lncRNA from 1 species